rnacentral:rRNA from 1 species
CAGCCGCCGCGGGAAUACGAGGGGGGCAAGCGUUGUUCGGAAUUAUUGGGCGUAAAGGGCGCGUAGGCGGUUUGGCAAGUUUCGUGUGAAAUCUUCGGGCUCAACUCGAAGUCUGCACGGAAAACUGCCGGGCUUGAGUAUGGGAGAGGUGAGUGGAAUUUCCGGUGUAGCGGUGAAAUGCGUAGAUAUCGGAAGGAACACCUGUGGCGAAAGCGGCUCACUGGACCAUUACUGACGCUGAGGCGCGAAAGCUAGGGGAGCAAACAGGAUUAGAUACCCCUGUAGUCCCUGUCUCUUAUAC